ACUUCGGCGGGAGGAAGGAAGCACCUAAGGCGCUGGGGGCGGAAACGCUGAGGUGGAGGGGUGCGCCUCAGGCGAGAGCUGGCCGGCGCCGACUGGGCCUGGGGCAGCGGCCGCAGCUCCCCGCCCGGGACCGCGCACAAAGGCCUGAGGUCCGGGCCGCACUCACCGAAGUCCAGGAACUGCCUCAUGGAGAGCGGGGACGGCGAGAAGCGCGCGUAGAAGUCCACCUGGCCCGGAACGCCGCGCUCGGACGCCGGGCUGGAGUCCGAGUCCGAGCUGAAGCUGCGGCUGGGGCCGGCGGCGCGCAGCCCCGGGCCCGGGCCGGCCAAGGCGGCUCCGCGAAGCAGCCGCGCCAGCCUCAUGCCGAGUCCCGCUAGAGAAGCCACAGCCCGGGCUCCAGGUUUCCCCGCUCCUCUGCCGAGUGGGUUGAAGGCAAAUACUUGAAGUUGCAAUCCAAGGUCAGGAAAAAGGAAUCAAGAGGUCACAAUCCUUCUCUGAUGAUGGCUCAGAAAGCUGGAAGACACUCAACAUUGAAUCCUGGGGCUCCGUGCCAUGCUUGCUAGGAGAAACAGCCACCGUGAGUCCAUGUUUCAGAUCUCAAGUGAACAGUCAUUCUCCAGCUGGGAUUGAGAACAAGGGGAAGCUGGCCAUAGAGCCAGAUGGCCAAAGAUGGAAGACAAAGGGUGGGCUGUGAUUCCCAGAGCUCCAAGCCUUGAUCUGUCUUGUCACACCAACUGUUACUGAUGAACAGCUUGCAGUGCCAGUACCUGAAGACAGUUUUCUCCGUAACGGGGCUAUGAGGGAAAUGAGCACCAAAGCACAUGACUUCAGGACAUGAGUGUGGGGUACAUGGAAAAGAGACAUGUCCUGAACCUGAAUGAAGCUGGGGAUGAAGCUGGGGAACCUUUCACCUGAGUGCCUGCAUUUGGCAGCCUGAUAUUUUCAGCAGCAGCAGUCACAUCAAUGAAGGCUCGCAUGAGAAUGUCCAAGUAGUUCAGUUUGGAAUAUUCCUGUUUGGAGACAGUUAGUGAAUGCAUUAGGGAAGUGAAAAGUGUCCUAGGCAAAGGCAAAUUACUUCCAUGGGACAGCCUCACGCCAAGGUCAUACCUCUAGAAAUGUGCCAUUCCAUAACCUCGAGCGCAAAAUAAGAGACGCCUUGCUGUCCAGCCCUCGCAGUGGGCAUCUGAUGUUCACACAGUUCACGUUCACGCUACAGUUCUAGAGAGAAAAGGAAGAAUGGUCAUCAAAAGACAUCGUUCUGAAGAAGUCCUUCCCCUCAUCCUCUCAAAUAUUCACAGCUCUUGAAAAAUACUUACAAGAGUCUGGUAUUUUCUUUCAGCAAAUAAAGAAAAUUUUCUGUUAUCGUC